AUUGAACGCUGGCGGCAUGCCUUACACAUGCAAGUCGAACGGUAACAGGUCUUCGGAUGCUGACGAGUGGCGAACGGGUGAGUAAUACAUCGGAACGUGCCCGAUCGUGGGGGAUAACGGAGCGAAAGCUUUGCUAAUACCGCAUACGAUCUACGGAUGAAAGCGGGGGAUCGCAAGACCUCGCGCGAGUGGAGCGGCCGAUAUCAGAUUAGCUAGUUGGUGGGUAAAGGCCCACCAAGGCGACGAUCUGUAGCUGGUCUGAGAGGACGACCAGCCACACUGGGACUGAGACACGGCCCAGACUCCUACGGGAGGCAGCAGUGGGGAAUUUUGGACAAUGGGCGCAAGCCUGAUCCAGCAAUGCCGCGUGCAGGAUGAAGGCCUUCGGGUUGUAAACCGCUUUUGUACAGAGCGAAAGGUCUCUUCUAAUACAAGGGGCUCAUGACGGUACUGUAAGAAUAAGCACCGGCUAACUACGUGCC
rnacentral:rRNA from 1 species